AUACAAAAGAGAGAAAACUUAACACUCAGAUCAAAUUGUUUCUUCUUCUUCUUCUUCUUCUUCUUUUUCUUCUCUUUCUCCCUCCUCUCAUAUUGUGAUCAUU
rnacentral:ribozyme from 1 species